UCCAGACUCCUACGGGAGGCAGCAGUGGGGGAUAUUGCACAAUGGGGGGAACCCUGAUGCAGCGACGCCGCGUGGGUGAAGGAGCGUUUCGGCGCGUAAAGCCCUAUCGGCAGGGAAGAAGGAGGACGGUACCUGACUAAGAAGCCCCGGCUAACUACGUGCCAGCAGCCGCGGUAAUACGUAGGGGGCAAGCGUUAUCCGGAUUUACUGGGUGUAAAGGGGGCGCAGACGGCGGCGCAAGCCAGGAGUGAAAGCCCGGGGCCCAACCCCGGGACUGCUCUUGGAACUGCGCGGCUGGAGUGCAGGAGGGGCAGGCGGAAUUCCUGGUGUAGCGGUGAAAUGCGUAGAUAUCAGGAGGAACACCGGUGGCGAAGGCGGCCUGCUGGACUGCGACUGACGUUGAGGCCCGAAAGCGUGGGGAGCAAACAGGAUUAGAUACCCGGGUAAA
rnacentral:rRNA from 1 species